rnacentral:rRNA from 1 species
UACGUAGGGUGCAAGCGUUGUCCGGAUUUAUUGGGCGUAAAGAGCUCGUAGGCGGUUAAGAAAGUCGGGUGUGAAACCUCCAGGCUCAACCUGGAGACGCCACUCGAUACUUCUUUGACUUGAGUUCGGUAGGGGUAAGCGGAAUUCCUGGUGUAGCGGUGAAAUGCGCAGAUAUCAGGAAGAACACCUAUGGCGAAGGCAGCACUCUGGGACGGUACUGACGCUGAGACGCGAAAGCGUGGGGAGCGAACAGG